UACGGUAUUACGGUAGCACGGCGAGUGACCGAGGAAGAGCUCAAAUUUGUAAUCUGGCUGUCUUCGAUAGUCCGAGUUGUAAUCUAUAGACGUGUUUUCCGUGCUGGACCGUAUCUAAGUCCCUUGGAACAGGGUAUCAAAGAGGGUGAUAAUCCCGUGCUUGAUACGACCACCAGUGCUCUGUGAUACACGCUCUACGAGUCGAGUUGUUUGGGAAUGCAGCUCAAAAUGGGUGGUAAAUUCCAUCUAAAGCUAAAUAUUGGCGAGAGACCGAUAGCGAACAAGUACCGUGAGGGAAAGAUGAAAAGCACUUUGGAAAGAGAGUUAAACAGUACGUGAAAUUGUUGAAAGGGAAACGAUUGAAGUCAGUCGUGUUCUUCAGAUUCAGCUGGUUCUUCCAGUCUACUUCUGUUGAACGGGUCAACAUCAGUUUUGUCCGGUGGAUAAAGGUAGUAGGAAUGUGACUCCUCCGGGAGUGUUAUAGCCUAUUAUUGCAUACACUGGGUGAGACUGAGGACUGCAGCUCGCCUUUUGGCCGGUCUUCGGACACGUUCGAGCUUAGGAUGUUGACAUAAUGGCUUUAAACGACCCGUCUGAGCA
rnacentral:rRNA from 1 species